rnacentral:rRNA from 1 species
UGCCAGACUCCUACGGGAGGCAGCAGUGAGGAAUAUUGGUCAAUGGGCGCGAGCCUGAACCAGCCAAGUCGCGUGAGGGAAGACGGUCCUAUGGAUUGUAAACCUCUUUUGUCGGGGAGCAAAAGACGCCAUGUGUGGCGUUCCGAGAGUACCCGAAGAAAAAGCAUCGGCUAACUCCGUGCCAGCAGCCGCGGUAAUACGGAGGAUGCGAGCGUUAUCCGGAUUUACUGGGGGUAAAGGGUGCGCAGGUGGCAGGGCAAGUCAGAUGUGAAAGCCCGGGGCUCAACCCCGGUAUUGCAUUUGAAACUGUCCGGCUAGAGUGCAGGAGAGGUAAGCGGAAUUCCUAGUGUAGCGGUGAAAUGCGUAGAUAUUAGGAGGAACACCAGUGGCGAAGGCGGCUUACUGGACUGUAACUGACACUGAGGCACGAAAGCGUGGGGAGCAAACAGGAUUAGAUACCCCCGUAAG